AGAGUGAACGCUGGCGGCAGGCCUAACACAUGCAAGUCGAACGGCAGCACAGCAGUAGCAAUACUGUGGGUGGCGAGUGGCGGACGGGUGAGGAAUACAUCGGAAUCUACCUUGUCGUGGGGGAUAACGUAGGGAAACUUACGCUAAUACCGCAUACGAACUAUGGUUGAAAGCGGCGGACCGCAAGGCGUCGCGCGAUUGGAUGAGCCGAUGUCCGAUUAGCUAGUUGGCGGGUAAAGGCCCACAAGGCGACGAUCGGUAGCUGGUCUGAGAGGAUGAUCAGCCACACUGGAACUGAGACACGGUCCAGACCUCCGUACGGGAGCAGCAGGUGGGAAUAUGGACAAGUGGGGCAACCGUGACUCCAGCCAUCGCCGCGUGUGUGAAGAGGUCCGUUACGGUUAGUAAGUCUACGUUUUGGUA
rnacentral:rRNA from 1 species